AGUUAGGGAUAGUCAUAAUUUAAUUGUAGAUAUCUAUUAUCAAGUUAUAGAUAUCUUGAAAUUAAUUUUGAUUAGAGAUAUGUGAAAUUUGAGAUAUCUGUAACUUUCAUUCUGCCUAGUCAAAAUGUAAUUACAGAUAUCUUGAAUUUGAGUUUUGACUAGGCGAAAUGACGUUGCAGAUAUCUGUAUGUGUAUGCAAAUUAGGCCCGCAUCCCACUUUAGGCGGAGCACCUGUUAACUGUUAACUUGUAAUUAGCACUGAUUAGCACCAUGUCGGAGCAGCCAGAGGCCGAAGGAGUUUUUAAUCGUCUUUUUAAUGCUGCAGCCCGUGCAAGACAGGAGCUGGCAGCGAGAAAUAAUGAUUCAACGUUACUUUCCACAACAAGACGACUAUUUCGCCGGCAAGUUCAUCGAGUUCGGGGAGGAUCUGGUGGACGGAGGGAAAGCCCUAUUUGGCAAGCAAAACUUUUCCUCCUUCCAGGGCCAGAUAAUGGUUUUUUACCUCCUACAAAAGAACUUGAGGAACUGGCUAAACUUGGAUUAAGUAAAUGAAAACCUGUGCAUGAGUCAACAGAGGCCGGACGCACAAACUCAAAGAUUGGGUUAAACUGGAGUUUAUCUGAAUUGAACAACUUUGUUUGCCAAAGCUACCC